rnacentral:rRNA from 1 species
GACGAACGCUGGCGGCGUGCCUAAUGCAUGCAAGUCGAACGCUUCUUUCCUCCCGAGUGCUUGCACUCAAUUGGAAGGAGGAGUGGCGGACGGGUGAGUAACACGUGGGUAACCUACCCAUCAGAGGGGGAUAACACUUGGAAACAGGUGCUAAUACCGCAUAACAGUUUAUGCCGCAUGGCAUAAGAGUGAAAGGCGCUUUCGGGUGUCGCUGAUGGAUGGACCCGCGGUGCAUUAGCUAGUUGGUGAGGUAACGGCUCACCAAGGCCACGAUGCAUAGCCGACCUGAGAGGGUGAUCGGCCACACUGGGACUGAGACACGGCCCAGACUCCUACGGGAGGCAGCAGUAGGGAAUCUUCGGCAAUGGACGAAAGUCUGACCGAGCAACGCCGCGUGAGUGAAGAAGGUUUUCGGAUCGUAAAACUCUGUUGUUAGAGAAGAACAAGGACGUUAGUAACUGAACGUCCCCUGACGGUAUCUAACCAGAAAGCCACGGCUAACUACGUG